rnacentral:misc_RNA from 1 species
GAUGAAGAACGCAGCGAAAUGCGAUAAGUAGUGUGAAUUGCAGAAUUCAGUGAAUCAUCGAAUCUUUGAACGCACAUUGCGCCCCUUGGUAUUCCAUGGGGCAUGCCUGUUCGAGCGUCAUUUGUACCUUCAAGCUUUGCUUGGUGUUGGGCGUCUGUCCCGCUUCGCGCGCGGACUCGCCCCAAAGGUAUUGGCAGCGGUCGUGCCAGCUUCUCGCGCAGCACAUUGCGCUUCUCGAGGCACCGGUGGGCCCGCGUCCAUCAAGCUCACCCCCCCAGUUUGACCUCGGAUCAGGUAGGGAUACCCGCUGAACUUAAGCAUAUCAAUAAGCGGAGGA